rnacentral:rRNA from 1 species
UACGUAGGGGGCAAGCGUUGUCCGGAAUCAUUGGGCGUAAAGAGCGUGUAGGCGGCCAGAUAAGUCCGCUGUGAAACCUCGAGGCUCAACUUCGAGCUGUCGGUGGAAACUGUCUGGCUAGAGUCCGGAAGAGGAGAAUGGAAUUCCUGGUGUAGCGGUGAAAUGCGCAGAUAUCAGGAAGAACACCCGUGGCGAAGGCGGUUCUCUGGGACGGUACUGACGCUGAGACGCGAAAGCGUGGGGAGCGAACAGG